UAUUGUUAAAUUUGAUUUUUAAAUAUGCUAUCACUUUCCACCCUAUAGGUAAAUUCAUCCCAUGCACAUUCCAAACUAUAAUUACUUGUUAUUUAUUUCCCUCCUUCCUAUUUGCCCUCACUGAACUUCUCCCCCUAUUCCUAUCCCUCCUCUCUUCUCUCCUUUUAAAGUUCUCUAGGAAAUCUUUUUGUGCUGUGGACCAUUUGGCAUUCCUCGUUGAAAAAGGAGUAGCUUUUUUAGCUCCAUUAUCUUCCUCUGAAUAUGAACCCAAAUCUUCUCUAUCCCUAUAGUAGCUAUCUAUAGUUGGGUUCUUUUUCCUUUGCUUGCUCAUUUUUAAAAUGUUUUGUUUUAUUAUUAUUAUUAUUUAGCAGCUAUUUGGUUAAUCAAGUUGCAGCCCUGAGGUAUGAGGAAAUGAUGCCCCAAGCCUCAGUUCCUUCUUACAAUUAUUUCCUUUUUUUUUCUUUACUGUUACUUUCUGAAGUCUGUCCUGGGGCUCAACCUUGGGCUCUUCUUUCCACUCCUAAGCCACCACUAGAGCCCCAUUCACACUUUCAUGCAGAUGAUCUUACUCCCUGCUGUCUCUCCAGUGACUGUAAACUACAGCUGUCCUCUCUGCCCUGGAACAGAAACCAUGGGCUGCACUCUCCUGCAAGUGCCCACAGCCAGCAGGAUCCUUGCCCCUCUGUUACUGCACUUACCAAUGGUGUGCAAGCUCUUUCUCCCCCUCAGAGGCAACCCAGCCCAGCACUUGUGUGGUCAGCCCAGCUGUGCUUAGCAACCCUCAGCAAUGGAAGGUCCUUCAGUCUCCUCCUACAACCAUCAGAUCCCAACACUGUCCUUGAGAUGAAAGUUUCUAAGCCUGAGGCUGCCUCCCAAACCCAGCUGCUCCCAGGGCUUGUUGUUGCUGAUUCAGCAGAGUUGGCCUGAAGGAGUUUGCACUUCACUCAGGCCCAACCUCUGCCCUAGAGGUCAGGUCUUUUCUGAGAUCUUCUCAGGUUGUUUUAGGCAAACAACUGCUUUACCUCAAGUUCAUUUCUGCUGCUCUGAGGCUAUGUUCUGUCUGUUUUUUGGUGGAGGAAUUGGAGAGCUGAAAGUUUUCCUGGGAAUUCUGGGAAGGUGGGAGAGGAUUCUAUCAUUCUUUAUGAAACAUCAUUUUAUUCCCUCAGAGCGCAAGACCAUCAUAAUUGAGUAUGAUCAUCACUGACUCCCACAAGAGUUCCAAUCUGGGAGUUUGGCAGCACACUGUCUAAGGAGACCAUUGUAUUCCAAGAUCCAUGGCCACUUGGGAUCUCAGGAAGAUUACAGAUUCCCAAGGAGCCAUUGUGUACAGCCUCCUUGUCCAGAUCUUCAAGAUAGAGAGUCACCAUCAGCUGUAAGGCCAGUGAGAGUCUAACAGAUAGCGAUGGUGAUGACUACUUACAUUGGUACCAGCAGAAACCUGGCCAAGCCCCCAGGCUCCUCAUUUUCUGGACUAACAGCCUGGUAUCUGGAGUGCCUGCCCGGUUCAGGGGCAGUGGGUCUGGGACAGAUUUCACUCUCACCAUCAGCAGCCUGGAGCCCGAGGAUGCUGGAGAUUAUUCCUGUCAGCAGUCUAACGAGCUUCCCUUCCCCACGGUGCUUCAAGCCUUGAACAAAAACCUCCCCAGACUGUUCGGGGGAUUCAGCUCAGAGCAGCAGCUGCCUCCUCUCUAGUCCCCAGGACAGAGCAGCCCCUGUUCUCUGGGCAGGCUCACAUCUCCCAGGGCUUCCCCUUUCUGGUCCCACAGGUGUGCACCUGUAACAAAGUCUUGUCAAUCACAAACCCUGUCUGCAUAGCCAAGACAGAGUGCUGCAGGUAGUGCAGCCUCCUGGGAAACAAAAAGGAAAAUCGAAACAGGGGAGACAGUCACAUUUCAAGUCCUCUCAGUAUCUUUGCCUCAAAUGUUUCUGUUGUGGGAACCCAAGUUCCUGUUGAGAAGACUUUGCUCUAGUUCUCUUUAGCAAAUAAUAGAGACUUGUUGCUUGGUUUUAUUCAGUUGUGCCUGCCUCUUCAUGACCCUACUUGGGGUUUUCUUGGCAAAGGUCCUGGAAUGGUUUGCCAUUUCCUUCUCAACCUCAUUUCACCGAUGAGGAAACUAUAGCAAAUAGGGUUAAGUGAUUAGCCCUGGGUCACUGUAGGGCAGGAGGCACUGGAGCUUCUGGGCUCCAGCUUCUAACAGGUUCACUCUUAAUGUGGGCAGCCAGAAGCACAGGAACUAAGACAUGAUGAGGGAUUAAAUAACUUAUUCUUGUCAAAUGUGUUGCUGAUAAUGGAAGCACCAACUCUUAUAGCUUCCCCUCAUUACUUUUCUCAGAGGGGUGGGGGAGAAUAUACAAAGUAGGAGCUCCGCGUCCUACAAUGAGCCCCAAAACCUCAAUGGGGGCCAUUUGAGGCAAGCACAGCAUUACACUGUCAUAUUCCCCCCAAACCCUGAUGGGGGCAGGUCAAGGCACACGCAACUUUUAGUUGGCACAUUUCCCAUUUACUGACCGGUGCUCACUUGAUUUAUAGAGGAGCACACAAAGGAGGCAAUUUGGCAGCAAUAGCCUCACACGUUUAUACCAUCUCAUCAUUAUAUCUCAAUCCCCAGUUGCAGCAGAACUUGUUUACAAUGUGGAAUCCUGGGAACUAGUCGAUUAUUUGUGGCCAUGGGUCCUGGGAACUAUUAUUUAAAAAAGAAUAAUAAAA